UGGAUAGGAGACAAGAAGGCAUCUUCUUGUUUUUAAAAGACCUAGCAAUAGGUAUGCUUAGGGAGGAGCUUGCGUCACAUUAGUUAGUUGGUGGGGUAAAGGCCUACCAAGACUAUGAUGUGUAGCCGGGCUGAGAGGUUGAACGGCCACAUUGGGACUGAGACACGGCCCAAACUCCUACGGGAGGCAGCAGUAGGGAAUUUUCGGCAAUGGAGGAAACUCUGACCGAGCAACGCCGCGUGAACGAUGAAGUAUUUCGGUACGUAAAGUUCUUUUAUUAGGGAAGAAUAAAUGAUGGAAAAAUCAUUCUGACGGUACCUAAUGAAUAAGCCCCGGCUAACUAUGUGCCAGCAGCCGCGGUAAUACAUAGGGGGCAAGCGUUAUCCGGAAUUAUUGGGCGUAAAGGGUGCGUAGGCGGUUAAAUAAGUUUAUGGUCUAAGUGCAAUGCUCAACAUUGUGAUGCUAUAAAAACUGUUUAGCUAGAGUAAGAUAGAGGCAAGUGGAAUUCCAUGUGUAGUGGUAAAAUGCGUAAAUAUAUGGAGGAACACCAGUAGCGAAGGCGGCUUGCUGGGUCUUUACUGACGCUGAGGCACGAAAGCGUGGGGAGCAAACAGGAUUAGAUACCCUGGUAGUCCACGCCGUAAACGAUGAGUACUAAACGUUGGGUAAAACCAGUGUUGAAGUUAACACAUUAAGUACUCCGCCUGAGUAGUACGUACGCAAGUAUGAAACUUAAAGGAAUUGACGGGACUCCGCACAAGCGGUGGAUCAUGUUGUUUAAUUCGAAGGUACCCGAAAAACCUCACCAGGUCUUGACAUGCUUCUGCAAAGCUGUAGAAACACAGUGGAGGUUAUCAGUUGCACAGGUGGUGCAUGGUUGUCGUCAGCUCGUGUCGUGAGAUGUUGGGUUAAGUCCCGCAACGAGCGCAACCCUUAUUGUUAGUUACCAGCACGUAAUGGUGGGGACUUUAGCAAGACUGCCAGUGAUAAAUUGGAGGAAGGUGGGGACGACGUCAAAUCAUCAUGCCCCUUAUGACCUGGGCUACAAACGUGAUACAAUGGCUGUUACAAAGGGUAGCUGAAGCGCAAGUUUUUGGCGAAUCUCAAAAAAACAGUCUCAGUUCGGAUUGAAGUCUGCAACUCGACUUCAUGAAGUUGGAAUCGCUAGUAAUCGCGAAUCAGCAUGUCGCGGUGAAUACGUUCUCGGGGUUUGUACACACCGCCCGUCAAA
rnacentral:rRNA from 3 species